rnacentral:rRNA from 1 species
UACGAAGGGUGCAAGCGUUACUCGGAAUUACUGGGCGUAAAGCGUGCGUAGGUGGUGCGUUAAGUCUGUCGUGAAAGCCCCGGGCUCAACCUGGGAAUGGCGAUGGAUACUGGCGCGCUAGAGUGCGGUAGAGGAGAGUGGAAUUCCCGGUGUAGCGGUGAAAUGCGCAGAUAUCGGGAAGAACACCCGUGGCGAAGGCGGCUCUCUGGGACGGUACUGACGCUGAGACGCGAAAGCGUGGGGAGCAAACAGG